rnacentral:rRNA from 1 species
UACGAAGGGGGCUAGCGUUGCUCGGAAUCACUGGGCGUAAAGCGCACGUAGGCGGAUUCUUAAGUCAGGGGUGAAAUCCUGGAGCUCAACUCCAGAACUGCCUUUGAUACUGAGGGUCUUGAGUUCGGGAGAGGUGAGUGGAACUGCGAGUGUAGAGGUGAAAUUCGUAGAUAUUCGCAAGAACACCAGUGGCGAAGGCGGCUCUCUGGGACGGUACUGACGCUGAGACGCGAAAGCGUGGGGAGCGAACAGG